AUAUAUAUAUAUAUAAAACAGAUGGUAGCCACCCAGGCAACGGCGAGCUAUAGCCUUCCACGCGCAGUAGAACUCUAUAAAGGGUCCCUGUGAGCGGCACCACUGGCAUUCGUCCCGACUUCAGGGUUUUAGGUUUUGGACUUUAAUCCAAGAUUGGUGGUGAUCAAAUCCAACGGUGGUGGUUUAUCGUCUCUCACAAUUGAACAGGAAGAAAGAAAAUGCCUCGCGCAUCAAAGAGAAAAGCGGCCCCACUCAAUUCCUCCUCCGUCACAUCAGCUUCUGACUAUCGUGCUGGUAAGGCCAAAUCAAAGGAGAUAGAACGGAUUGAUCGCCUAUUUAAUUUGUAUGCAAAUACCUCAUUAGGCAUGAUUGACCCGGAAGGAAUCGAGUCUUUGUGUUCAGACAUGAAAGUCCGACAUACUGAUGUUAGGAUUCUGAUGCUUGCAUGGAAGAUGAAAGCUCAAAAGCAGGGUUAUUUUACUCAAGAAGAGUGGCGGACAGGGUUGAAGGCUCUUCAAGCUGAUACUCUUAACAAAUUAAAGAAAGCACUACCUGAAUUAGAGAAAGAGGUGGGUAUACAAGCAAACUUCGAGGAUUUCUAUUCUUAUGCAUUUCGGUAUUGCCUAGCAGAAGAGAAGCAAAAAAGUGUAGACAUUGAGACCAUUUGUGAAUUGUUGGAUCUUGUACUUCAUUCCCAAUUCUGUUCCAAGGUUGAUUUAUUAAUUGAGUAUCUAAAGAUCCAAAGUGAUUACAAAGUGAUAAACUGGGACCAAUGGAUGAAUUUUCUUCGUUUUUGCAAGGAGAUUAGCUUUCCAGAUUUUGAGAACUAUGAUGCAAAUCAAGCUUGGCCUUUGAUCCUAGACAAUUUUGUUGACUGGAUGAAAGAAAAGCAUAGGUAGUUUCAACAAUUCUUUGGCCAUUACCGUCCCCUACCUUAAGAGUAAAAUUCUGAUACAGUAAGGGAUUUGCCAUAAAACUAAUGAACAGAGUUUUUUUUUUUUUUUUCUUUUUCUUUUCUAUAAAACCAUUGAUACCAAGAAUAUGCUGGGCUCUCAGGACAUUCACAAAAUAUGAUUGUUUGUUUUUGCAAAUUUUCAUGUUAUUGUUCUACCAUUUGCUUCUUGUAGCCAAAAUGUCGUAGCGAAGGGCAUUUCUAGCGUAGCCGCCUGUCGUACAUUAAUUUGAAAGAGUAUUAUCAACUUCAGAUGGAAAAAGAAAAGCUGAUUGUGCCUAUUGAUGCAAUGUGUUAAACAGCCAAGAGGCUCAGUGGCUGACUGUUUUGUACUAGUCCUGUUUUGAUAGUUGGAAUCAGGCCCCAAAACCUUGUGAGUAGGGACUCACCUGCAUCAUGUUGGGCGAAAACAUGGAGUCUUUGAAUUGCCUAGAAAGCUAUUCCAUCCUAGGACAAUAAGAUGAGAUCAGCGUUCACAUUCAAUUAACAACAAAUUAUAAGUAUCAUUGGGCUGUCUCCUAAAUGAGAUUAAGUAAGCACAUUCAAUUCCUUAUUCCAUAUGCACUUGGCCAUAUUCUUCUUCCCUUUGUUAUUUCGUUAAGUUCUAUUAAUUAAUGAAAAGGAUAACUUUAGACAAAA